GUACUUACUUUGCAGGGGAGACACCACAAUCAAGAAGGUGGUUCACCCAGGGCGAGGCUCAGCCAUUGCACUUCAGCUGUCCUGACCCCUGUGAAUUCCCCAAAUGUGGGAAUCUCAGCUGCAAAAUUUCUGCUAGUGGGGGGCUGCAUUCAAGCUCUCCUCUG